rnacentral:rRNA from 1 species
AAUGAACGCUGGCGGCGUGCGUAACACAUGCAAGUCGAACGUGAAAGUCCCCUUCGGGGGAUGAGUAAAGUGGCAAACGGGUGAGUAACACGUGGGUAACCUGCCCUCUGGUGGGGGAUAACCCUGCGAAAGCGGGGCUAAUACCGCAUAACAAGUCGCUAAAUAAUUAGUCGACUUCAAAGCCUUCGGGCGCUAGAGGAGGGGCCCGCGUCCCAUUAGCUAGUUGGUAGGAUAACGGCCUACCAAGGCUGCGAUGGGUAGCCGGCCUGAGAGGGUGUCCGGCCACACUGGAACUGAGACACGGUCCAGACUCCUACGGGAGGCAGCAGUGGGGAAUUUUGCGCAAUGGGCGAAAGCCUGACGCAGCGACGCCGCGUGGGUGAUGAAGUUCUUCGGAACGUAAAGCCCUGUCAGGAGGACGAAGCUCUGACGGUACCUCCAAACGGAAGCCCCGGCUAACUCCGUGCCAGCAGCCGCGGUAAACGUAGCGUG